ensembl:lncRNA
UAUAUAUAGCUAGAAAACAUUUAUAUGAGGUUAAACAUUCAAAGUAUGUUUUACUUUUACAUUUCUUUUUCAACACAGAAUGAUUAAUGAAAAAAGGGGGGUCACUUAAGGGUAUAAAUAAUUAUCAAAUGAUUUUGACCACUGACUUUUAAUGGAGGCUUUUUGACAGGACAAGUGAGGCUAAAGAGCAAGUUCAUGCUUCAGAGCAUCUCCGAUGGCAGGCUUCUGUUUCAGAGCCAUCCUUAUUUUUCCCUGUUACUUUAUUAAAUGCUGACAUUAAUUGGCAUUAAAUCACUGUUUUAUCAAGAACGCCAGUGAAUGAUUUGAAACUCCACAUGUGAUAUAAUAAUCUAUGCAAACAGAGAGUUAAAUGCUGCUUUCACAAUAUUUCUGCAGGCCUCUAGUUUGGAGUCCAGCCAGAUGCUCGUGUGAGUGACGCUUCCUGUUCAGCUUCAGGAGACAGGAAGCAUCACGCAUGUCUGAGCGCCCCGUGAAGAAGGGUUGGACCAAAGCCUGCUGUUAAAAGCCAUGAGCGAGUGAAUCCCCUUAAUCUAGACGACAGAGAGAAAGAGAAGGGAAAAUGAUGACUAAAGCUAUAGUCAUAUAAUUAGAGCAAGAUUCCUCAUUAUGUCUCGCUCCCGUGGGCCGGCCGGCUCUCAGCUGUGCCCUUUGUUUGAUCCCAGACCUACAGCAGUCUGUUUAUUCUGUGGUCUCUGAGACAUGUGGGGGAAAGCAGCCGAUGAGCCACAGAUUUACCAGCACCGGCACGUCAGCGUGUCAUUCUGCAUCACCCUGACUGUGUGGUAAAGAGUGAACGAGAGAGAGAGAAAGACAAGAUAAACAAAGAGAUAGAGACCCUUGAUUUUCUAAAUGCGUUAAUUAGUGCUUUCUUUGUUUACUCUGCAUUUUUCAGUGCUUGAUGCCAACAUGCCACUCAGGUGUAGUUCCUACAGUCAGUUAUGUUUUUUGUAAGAUCUCGUUUGGGGAAUAUUUGACCAAUUGAAAUAAGAAAUAAUAUUAUUUUAAUACCGUCACUCGAUGCUUAAACGUUUGGCAAAUUAGAAGAUUUUAAAUUCAAAUUACUGUAAUUUUACAUUUUUCUUCUUUUACUUUAAUGUUUGUACACUAAUGUUUGUCGAUCUUAAUGUUUUUAUGGUUGUGUUAAUGUCUGGCCAGAGGACUACAGUUGACAGUUACCCAGCUGGCUAACACUCCU